AGACUUCCUAGGUAGCUCUGAAACAGGUGGUCUGUAGACCACACUUUAAGAAUUAUCUUCAAGGAUUGGGCUAGUUUUAGUUUGUAGUGAUUUCUUGUGUCUCUUAAUGAAGGCCUAGACAAUAUAGUCUGGAUUGAUUGGAUAAACACAGAGGAACAAGAGAGCGGCAGAAUUGUACCAUGCAUGCAGCAGGCCAUGCUCUACACGGGCCUCUCAGGAUGCAGCAGAGAGUUGCUUCUACAAAGGCACUGCAGUUUCUGAAAACAAAGCGAUGCAACUUAAGCCCUCCUAUUGUGGAUGAAACAGGACUUUGGGAUGUGGCCAUUGUCAGCAGCAGGGAAUCAGAGAUCACAGGAAAAUUGAAGUCUAGACUCAUGAAAGCAGUUGGUGUAGAUAACUGAAACUGCAGAAGAGAAAACUGUGAAUAAAAGGGAACAACUGUACCCUUACAAC
rnacentral:lncRNA from 10 species